rfam:Perkinsus marinus ATCC 50983 gcontig_1104296609980, whole genome shotgun sequence.
GGUUGUGUGGUCUAGUGGUAUGAUUCUCGCUUAGGGUGCGAGAGGUCCCGAGUUCAAUUCUCGGCACAGCCC